GGGCCGUUAGCUCAGUUGGUAGAGCAGCGGACUUUUAAUCCGUUGGUCACUGGUUCGAAUCCAGUACGGCCCA
rnacentral:tRNA from 6 species